UAUUCUUCUGUUUUAAGUUUUCCAUUUUGAUUUCUAAUUCAAUAGAUCUAACGCACAUAAACCAAACUUACUUGGUUCUCAAUAACUUUUAAAGGCUGUAAAGGGAUCUUGAGACCAAAACAUUUGAGAACUGAUGCCCCAGAGAAUCUCCAGAGAAAUUUAUCUGGAUCUUCCUCAAAGGCAGGAGGUGGCAUCCUCUGAACUGGCAUGAUGCAUGGCAACAGAACUGACAAAUGGAUCAGCUGAGCUCUGAUGUUCAGCUUCAGAAUCGGAGACCCAGAAGAGGUUGCAAGAAUGAGGACUAAAUCUUGGACUCUUAGGAGUGCUUUGCUUCCCUUCCUCACAGCCAAAGUGGGGAUGAGACUUUUAAAGAACAUUGUUUUCAUCAACAAAUCUUCAAAUCAUGUGCCAGAAUUGUAGAAAGGCAUAAAGGCUGGUUUUACUUCCUGUGUGGAGGCAACCAGCCACGGAAAGGCAGCAAGUGGAAACCCAGCUCCUAAAACAGGCCGGCUCGGGAGUCAUGAAUAUUUAUCACCUCACUGUGCAUUCACUAAGCAGUGUCCUGACAGAAAACUACUUUCAGGGAGUCUGAAUCUAUGUUCUAAUAUUUUCCACAAAGACAGCCUGUUCGUACUUGUGAAAAAGAUCAUUUUCAAAACCCAUAAUGAGGCCAGUCUACUAUUAGUAGCUUUAACAAGCCCUAAGCCUUAAAAUAGCAAAACAAUCCUUUCUCCAAAAUAAACAAAGCUUUCCUUUGUGUGUCUAAUGAGAGGAAAGACCACAGCUAAGGCAAAGUCUAAGAUGUUUACUGUCCCUGAAAGCUGAGGUAACUGGAUCCCCCCGCCAACACACAAACACAUACAAAAAACAACAACAACAAAAACACCCAAAUAACCAAAGAAGAAUCUGUUAGAAGCCAUCUACCUGCUUGAUUGUCAAGGAUCAAUCUGAGACCUACUUCCUGAGGAUGGGGCCGUCCCAGAGUGAGCUAGGGCAGGGCACUAACCCCUUGAUGGUCUCAGCUUGCCUGGGUCUUGGCUGGCUCCCCAAAUGCUAAACAGCACUUCUGAAGGGACCUGCUGAGAAAUAUCUAGAAGACACUGCUAACAACGAAUACACAGAGAAACAUAAAGCAUAAAAUUUACUGCCACAAAAAAAUCUGUGCAUUAAG